rfam:Pristionchus pacificus strain PS312 contig13398, whole genome shotgun sequence.
UCUUCAUUCUUCACACUGUCUCACCAGUCAGAGAGACCAGAGAGUGUGCGAAAUGAAGAGA